ensembl:lincRNA 1810020O05Rik Riken cDNA 1810020O05 gene
AGGAUCCAUGACAUCUGCCAAAGUAGUACCAGGCUCAAGGAGGUGGUUAUGAGAGAUCUGCUGCCUUCCUCCUCCAUGAUUAAAGAACUGAGCCAAGAGUUUGGGAUCCCCAUUUCUCAGGAAGAUCUCACAGAUGGAAAGCUAUUGACCGCAUUACCCCAGCCUGAUACCAGUAAUGAGGAUAUCCAACGUCGGACUUCUACUCUUCCACUGGAGAUACAAGUCCACCAGGAGAAGUACCUGCAGUGGCGGAACGACAUGCUGCUGAAGAACCAGGUCCACAGGGAUAGCAUUAAAAAUAUCACAGAAGCCUACCAGUUCACCAAGAAGUCUCAAAAGCCAAUGAGGAAAGUCAUUAGAAUUGCCAUUCCUGAGAACAAAACUGUCCACAACUACAGCGCCCAGACCAUGAAUUCCACAGAGCUUGCUAAGAAGCAGAUGCUUAAAGAGAUGGCCAAGGAGCCAAGAAAGAGAUUCACGUAUUCACAGAAUUACCUCUCAGCUAUGGUGGAUUUUCAGGACCCAAAGGAAGAGGAGAAGAAAGCCCAGAAGAAGUCCCGCCAGGCCUGGCUCACAGCCGGAGUGGGAGGAAAACGCACUGUUUACUAAUGUGCUGAAGCCUGUGUUGGAUCGGGAUAGGUGGAGCUGGAGCCAGCGCCACCUGGAUUUUGACCUGUAUAAGAAGCCACCACUCUACUUUAAGUUGCCUCGUCUUCCAUCUCCAAAGCGUGCAUCUGGUAGGAGGCGAAAGGCAAACAUUGGGUCUUCCGGACGGCGUUGGCGCAGUCGAGUUGCAUCAAAGCCACUUAGUUCCCCUGAAAGUUCUUCUACGCACCCUCAAGACUUAUUCUCUCUUAGUGACCAUCAUCUGGUACUAAAGACUCUGUCUCGCCUAACCUCUGCAUCUCGUGGAUCUUCACUGGGACUAUACCACCCAAAUCCCACCUUCCACAGCCGUUGGUUUCAUUAAAAUGUAGUAUAAGGAAGGGGCCAUUCUCAGUACCCAUAACCCUGUUACAAAUACACACUGGUUCCAAGAGC